GAUGAACGCUGGCGGCGUGCCUAAUACAUGCAAGUCGAGCGAACAGACGAGGAGCUUGCUCCUCUGACGUUAGCGGCGGACGGGUGAGUAACACGUGGAUAACCUACCUAUAAGACUGGGAUAACUUCGGGAAACCGGAGCUAAUACCGGAUAACAUGUUGAACCGCAUGGUUCAACAGUGAAAGGCGGUUUUGCUGUCACUUAUAGAUGGAUCCGCGUCGCAUUAGCUAGUUGGUAAGGUAACGGCUUACCAAGGCAACGAUGCGUAGCCGACCUGAGAGGGUGAUCGGCCACACUGGAACUGAGACACGGUCCAGACUCCUACGGGAGGCAGCAGUAGGGAAUCUUCCGCAAUGGGCGAAAGCCUGACGGAGCAACGCCGCGUGAGUGAAGAAGGUCUUCGGAUCGUAAAACUCUGUUAUUAGGGAAGAACAAAUGUGUAAGUAACUAUGCACGUCUUGACGGUACCUAAUCAGAAAGCCACGGCUAACUACGUG
rnacentral:rRNA from 1 species